UUGCUUUUGGUGAAAUUUUUCAAAGUGUUUUGAAUAUGUUAUGUACUUGGAUUUUCACAGCCAGUUUUCAUCAAUUUCUAAAUUCCAAAUGAAUUUUUGCCCAACAUGAUUUUUGUUCCUUAUUUCAAGGGCUUUCCAACCAUUACUCACAAUACUCGUUUGGACUUACCAUUUGUGAGUUUCGAAUUCAUUUCCGUUUAUGUGCAUUUUGGUAUUUU
rnacentral:lncRNA from 1 species